rnacentral:rRNA from 1 species
AUUGAACGCUGGCGGCAGGCUUAACACAUGCAAGUCGAGCGCGCGGCGGACGGGUGAGUAAUGUCUGGGAAACUGCCUGAUGGAGGGGGAUACCUACUGGAAACGGUAGCUAAUACCGCAUACCAUCAGAUGUGCCCAGAUGGGAUUAGCUAGUCGGUGGGGUAAUGGCUAACCUAGGCGACGAUCCCUAGCUGGUCUGAGAGGAUGACCAGACAAACGGGAACGGAGACACUGUCCAGACUCCUACGGGAGGCAGCAGUGGGGAAUAUUGCACAAAGGUGGCAAGCCUGAUGCAGCCAUGCCGCUGGUGUUAAGAAGGCCUUCGGGUUUUAAAGCACUUUCAGCGAGGAGGCGUUACUCGCAGAAGAAGCAACGGCUAACUCCGUGCCAGCAGCCGCGGGAAUUC